CUCACAGCCAACCACUUGUAACCUCACUCAAGCCAUUAGCUUAGAAUGAAAACCUCAUUUAUAUACUUGCUUUACGUGCUUAUUUUGCUAACUUGUAGUAUUUCCCUGAAAGACAUUUACGAUAUUUCCCCAUUCUCAUUUUAUAUUUCAUACUACUAAUUUUAAAUGGUUCUAUUUUGACUUUCUGACCAAAUGUGCAUUUUAAAAGGGUGAUUUUAAAAGUAUAGAAAGAAUUCUCACAGCUUAGAGUUUCCUUGCAUCACACUUUCUCUUAAAAUGGCACCUGGGAAAUAUUGACCAUUUUAUUGUAGUCUAUUUCCUUUUGUCUUGUGGCUUAUUUCUAUCUGUUUCUGUCAGCUAUGAAAGAUUUAUCCAUAUGCCAAAGAACUGUGAAAUAUUUUAUGAACUUUUCGGAAAGAAUGAUUGAAUAUUAUGUAAGAGCUUAACUCUGUAAAUUUAUAAUAGGCCUGUGACAAUAGAAUUCAGUUUCUGCUAGAGCUCCCUGGUUUUGAGCAUCAUGAAAAGACACCAACCUUGGUGCACUGACACAUUCAAUAUUUCCUACAUCCGGAAAUGUUGGGUUGGAUCUUUUAUUGUGCUGUCCAUUGAGGGGAGCAGAAGGUGCAUUUAAGCUGGUCUAAGAUCAGGAACAGAGAGGGCUGCUGUAGUAUCCUAGGGGUCUACUCCAGUCCCUGGUUACCUCGAAUUUUCCAGUCCCUGGAUGUCUCACCAGUGAAGGUUGUGAAACAGCAAAAAUGGCAGCCUGCACCCUCCUCUGGGAGCUCCAUCCCAAGAAGAUGUUGGCACUUCUUAGGAAGGAGCCAUCCAUGUCUGAAGAGAAGAAAUGAUAAUUAACUUCAUCAUGUGGAAAGCUUUAGAAGGAAGUAUCUUGUCCUUCUGUCCAAACCCGCCUCCUCCUUACCACCCCCAAUAAAAAUAAAAGCCAAACAAAUAAAACAUUAGCAGUAGCUCUGAGUUUCUUCCUUUCACUUUUUCUCUCUCUUCAUGCCUUUUCUCCUCCAUUCCUUCCUUCUUUCAAAUCAUUUUUACUAGUUUAAGAGAAUAAUUCAAUCUAUAUUUAGAAAUCAGACUUAAAACUUCAAAAAUUAUACUGAAAUAGCUUCCCCUUAAAGGGUGAAACAGUCAUGAUAAAAAUAACAACCGAUAGAAUAAAAUAAUAUAAAAUUAGCUGAGUUUAUAGUUUCUUUUACACCUCCAUAAUUUAUGUGGAUUUGGAAAUACAGACAGUAUACUGAAAACUAAGAAGUUUUCUAUGAAUUAUGAGAAUUUGCAAUCCACAUAGGCUUAAGUCUAAUGUUAGAAGAUAAAACAAAUUGACCUUAAAUAACUUUCUGACAUAACCUCCCCAUUUCAUGGAUGAAAAACCCUAAAGCUCUCAUAAGUAAAGUGAUUUACUUCAGGACACAAACUAGUUGAUUUAGUUUGGAUGUUUGUCCCCUCCAAAUCUCAUGUUGAAAUGGAAUCCCCAGUGUUGGAGGUGGGGCCUGGUGGGAGGUGUUUGUGUCAUGGGGCAGAUCCAUUAUCCUUAUGAGCUGCUUGGUGCUAUCCUUGUGAUAGUGAGUGAGUUCUCAUGAAAUCUGGUUGUUUAAAAAUUUGUGGCACCUCCCCACCAGCCUUGCUCCUGCUCUUGCGGUGUGAUAUGCCUGCUGCCUCUUCACCUUACACCGUGAUUAUAAGCUUCCUGAGGCCUCACCAGAAGCAGUU
rnacentral:lncRNA from 1 species